GACGAACCCUGGCGGCGUGCUUAACACAUGCAAGUCGAACGGAAAGGCCCUGCUUUUGUGGGGUGCUCGAGUGGCGAACGGGUGAGUAACGCGUGAGUAACCUGCCCUUGACUUUGGGAUAACUUCAGGAAACUGGGGCUAAUACCGGAUAGGAGCUCCUGCUGCAUGGUGGGGGUUGGAAAGUUUCGGCGGUUGGGGAUGGACUCGCGGCUUAUCAGCUUGUUGGUGGGGUAGUGGCUUACCAAGGCUUUGACGGGUAGCCGGCCUGAGAGGGUGACCGGCCACAUUGGGACUGAGAUACGGCCCAGACUCCUACGGGAGGCAGCAGUGGGGAAUAUUGCACAAUGGGCGGAAGCCUGAUGCAGCAACGCCGCGUGCGGGAUGACGGCCUUCGGGUUGUAAACCGCUUUCGCCUGUGACGAAGCGUGAGUGACGGUAAUGGGUAAAGAAGCACCGGCUAACUACGUG
rnacentral:rRNA from 1 species